rnacentral:rRNA from 1 species
CGCUGGCGGCGUGCAUAACACAUGCAAGUCGAACCGAUGAAACUUAGUAGACUUCUUCGGAAAGACACUAAGCGGAUUAGUGGCGAACGGGUGAGUAACGCGUGAGUAACCUGCCUUACACAAGGGGAUAGCUUUGGAAACGAAGAAUAAUACCCUAUAAAACCAUAAAAGCACAUGCUAGAAUGGUCAAAGUGAUAGCGGUGUAAGAUGGACUUGCGUCUGAUUAGCUAGUUGGUGAGAUAAAAGCUCACCAAGGCAACGAUCAGUAGCCGGCUUGAGAGAGUGUACGGCCACAUUGGGACUGAGACACGGCCCAGACUCCUACGGGAGGCAGCAGUGGGGAAUUUUGCACAAUGGGGGAAACCCUGAUGCAGCGACGCCGCGUGAUUUAGAAGGCCUUCGGGUUGUAAAAAUCUUUUGUAUAGGAAGAAAAUGACAGUACUAUACGAAUAAGGUCCGGCUAAUUACGUGCCAGCAGCCGCGGUAAUACGUAAGGACCGAGCGUUGUCCGGAAUCAUUGGGCGUAAAGGGUACGUAGGCGGCUAGAAAAGUUAGAAGUCAAAGGCUAUAGCUCAACUAUAGUAAGCUUCUAAAACUAUUUAGCUUGAGAAAUGGAAGGGAAAGUGGAAUUCCUAGUGUAGCGGUGGAAUGCGCAGAUAUUAGGAAGAAUACCGGUGGCGAAGGCGACUUUCUGGCCAUUAUCUGACGCUGAGGUACGGAAGCGUGGGUAGCAAACAGGAUUAGAUACCCUGGUGGUCCACGCCGUAAACGAUGAGUGUUAGGUGUCUGGAGUCAAAUCUGGGUGCCGCAGCAAACGCAUUAAACACUCCGCCUGGGGAGUACGCACGCAAGUGUGAAACUCAAAUGAAUUGACGGGG